CCCCCCCCCCCCCUCUCAAAGGCACCCGUAAUUUCCCCCUGAAGAUAUGCGCCUCCGCAAUUGGCUCUUCCACAACUUCAGAGAGCUUUACCGUUUCGAGGAUAAGGGAAUCGUCGAGUGGCGUUGAGGCCUGAACUUACUCCUUCUCUAGCUAGACUUUUCAUACAGAAAGGGUACAGAUGAUAAAAACAAACGUAGUUGAUUUUACACAUUUAGUUGGCCUUGCCGCCAUGGCUCCGCCACCAAGGGUGGUAGCCGACCAUUUUCUAAAGAGAGAAGAGAAGAGAAAGACAUGGGAUAAGGUUUUUGGUUGUUUGGCUGUGAAGUGGAAAGGAAAAAGAAUAUAUAUUUUAAAUAUAAAAGAUGAAAUUACUAACCUUAUUUUCAAGGCAUAUGCUAAAUUUAACUGAAAAUUUUAACCUGGUUAGGGUUAAAGGACCUAGGGUGUAAUGAAUUUUACAAAUAAAGGUCUGUGACUGUAAUUAUUGAAGUUAAAGGGUAUCCAUUGCAAUCCAAUACAAACAUAAAGGACGAAAAGUGUAAU